rnacentral:lncRNA from 1 species
CCAAAGAAUUCCCCUCUUUAUAGUACGGCUAUCUAUCCUAAAUGUGAUCACACCCUCUAUGGUGUCUUGAUCACCAAAACCAAAACCCUAAGCAAUACCUUCGCCUUGAUCUCCAUAGAGUUUUGUUUUUCUCUUUCUUCUGUUCCAAGUUGAGCACUUGAUCAUCUUGUGGUCAUCACCAUCAUCACCAUGAUCAUCACUUGCUCCAUCACUUGGCAUGUACCAACCUCAUUAAGUCUACACACACUUAGUAUAGAGGUUAGUACUAGGGUUUCAUCAAUUAUCCAAAACCAAACUAGGGCUUUCACAUGUCUCUUAUUCUUGAUCAGCUAUAACUCUGGAGUUUUUUUGCAGAUUUUCAAAUAAAACUCAGAGAUUCCUUGUAUGACUCUCUCUCAUAUCUCUCUUUUGUGGUAUUUGUGGUAUAAGGCAUAGUGACAUUGCCUUCUCUCUCACCCUACUCUAAUAAGGCUUUAAUAUCUGGAGCUCAUAGGUGGGAGAUAAAGUAUACAUACUUACAAGACAUUUAUUGUAUAGUCAAACCAUGGAUCCAAAGAAACAAAUCAAUAAGCCAAAUCAAGAUGUGCAUGUGUGGCGAAUGAAUGGUGUAUGGUGAUGAUGGUGAUAACAAUGGUGAAAGUCUAAUUCUACUUUUGCUCUUUUGAGGGGAUACAUAACUUCCUUGCUUUUUUGAAACUUUAUGAGGAGAAUGAGAUUCUCUUCUUUUUCUUUCCUCUCAGGUGGGUAUCUUGUACCCCUAAUUCUACUGUCGGACACUUGUCCAUUUUUACCUCUCGUCUUACUUUUUCUUUCUUUCAAGGUUCCGGGCACUUGCCCCUUUUUAUUUCCUCAUUUAUUUUUUUUCUUUUCUUCUCUUUUUUUCAGAGCACUCAUCUGUUGAGAUAAUAUAGCAAGUGGAAGUAGCAAGAUAACUUGAGCAUUUGUUUCACAAGGGAAAACAGAAAUAUUUUUGGCUAUUCUCUCCCGGAUUAGGAGUAGAAUAUUUUUAGGUGAUUCUGGAGAUGGAAAUGGAUGGAUAUAUGUGGAUGGUACUUUCGGAGUAGAAGUAGCAUAUAUGAGUGAACGUGCAAGCUUUACAUUAUAACAGUUAUGUCUAAACUUGAGAGCGAACUUCAAAUUUGCAAAUUAGGCAGAACAACUAUUCAUCAUAUCCAUGCUAGAGUUUUAUUAUUAAGAUUCAGAUUAGCAUAGCCACUUUAUUUAUUUAUUAAACACACUAAGCAAAAGAUAUAUAUAUAUAUAUAAGCACAAAAUCUUUAUUUGGUUUUUUAUAGUUUAUGUAUUUUAAUAUUCUAACAUAAUAUAAGUAUAAAGAUAGGUAUAAAUACUUAGCGAGAUAAAUGGGGGUGCUCUCCCCCAAGCUGAAUUUUGACGUAAUUUCUCUUGAUGUAGCUAGCAGGUGGCAGAGGUGUAUUUGAAAGUCAGCAGCAUUCUGACAGCGAUUAGAAUGUCCUCCGUCUGCUAGUCUUCUUGAUUCUUAAAUUCUGUGGAGCUCAAAUAGACAACAAAGCUUGUGGAACUAAUUAAGUGUUAGCAUAAAUAUCUAGCCUUCAUCAUGUUGAGCUUCCUCAAUAAAUAUUACUUUCUGUUUUUAUAUUUUUAUUUUAUAAAGCAGAAAAGAAAUAUUUAUUUUAUUUUUAUGCCACCACAGUGAAGGUACUUAUGGGUUUUAUGCCACUCGUAUACUCACAUGGGGCUUAGUAUUUUUUAACAUUUAUAUUUUCUUUUUAAGAUAGCAUGAUUAACUAAUAAUCUAUUUAAGGAAAGUAAAUAAUUAAAGGGAAAAGGGAAUGCAGAAAGGAUAAAUAUGGAUAACUACCGAUCUUAUCUUUCAACGAGGGUUCAAUGUUUCAAGUCUUCUUAACAAGACUUCUCACCGUGUUCAUUCUUCAGGUGCGUCAUUUGAUUCAGGUGCGGACCUUGACGUCUGCACCUCUUCGUUUGCCCAGCAGUUCGAAGUGCGGCGUUGGCAGUAUCCUGCUCAGUGUGUUUGUGCCUGUAGAUCCAGGUCCUUCACUUGGUAGAGUCUGAGAGUUAUAAAACUCCUCCGUGUUUUGCUUGAAGUGUACCUGCUCAUAGAGACAAGGCAGAGAUCAAGUGCAUGGGUCCUGUUGGUGGAAAACACCAAUAGAACCUAAAGUGUAUUUGUUCUUCUCUAACCCUAAGCAUAGUGAGCAAGACAAAGUUGAUGGAUGAAAAGUUCAUAAGUGUAGCACUUAUAACAUUUGUCAGAUCAGAUCGCUCAACCUUAUGGAAUGAUAAUCUAUCUAUGUAUAUGUCUUUUUCUUUAUAUCUCUCAAUGAUUGAAUGUGUAACAUUUUAGCUCAUAUGAUUAGGAGUGUGGGAUCAUGGAGGUAGUACUAAGAACAAAGAUUAAAGGACUAAACAUGCUGAAUCAGUUGGGUUGGUUAAUUUGGAGUUAUAAAUCAUACAUGUUUGUCUCUUUAUUUAUGUGAACACUAGAACCAAGGAAAAACUUAUAAAAGUGAUAGUCAAGUACCUUAAGAUGUUACCUUACUUGAAGAGUAAUGGUACAGUAUCACCUUGUGGAAGCUUUCCUUUCUUAGCGGUUGUGCAUCAUGUUUGUGGCACCCUCCAUGGGUCAUCUCUUAUGAGCUACGUCUUCCUUGUGUAAAUUGUUAAACUUGAUGUGUUUCUCACUUCAUCUCCGAUGUGAGUUUAUCUAAGGACAUCCCAGGUUGAUAUUGAAAGUUUCUCUGCAGGGGUUAGUCCGACAAAAAUAUACCAAUGUCUACACAAGCAGUUUUUAGUUUAAUAACCGAACUAGACUACAUGUCUAAUCAAAUUAAGGAAGGCUGUUUAACCUAAGCACCAUGCUUAAUUUAAAAGCCAAUAGAAGUAUGUGCAGUACUUCCAAACUAACACUUACUAGUAAAUAGAUAAAGGUAACAUGACAGCAUUUAUAGAGAUCUACUCAAGUGGAGAUGAAGUAGUGUGAUUAGUAUUUAACAUAUUGAGCAUGUCUUAAAGGUAGGGACAACCAACAUAGCAACAUGGCAAAGGAUGUUUUAUGUA